rnacentral:rRNA from 1 species
UAUUAGGAGUUACAAAAUUACAAUAUAGUUGAAUAUUCUGGAAAGAAUAACUGUAGAAGGUGAUAGUCCUGUAAACGAAAUAUUGUAAUCUCUAUAGGGUAUCCUGAGUACGGCGGGACACGUGUAAUCUUGUCGGAAUCUGCGGGGACCAUCCCGUAAGGCUAAAUACUCUCUAAUGACCGAUAGUGAACAAGUACCGUGAGGGAAAGGUGAAAAGAACCCCGGGAGGGGAGUGAAAUAGAAUACUGAAACCGUAUGCUUACAAAAAGUCAAAGCCCGUUAAUGGGUGAUGGCGUGCCUUUUGCAGAAUGAACCGGCGAGUUACUGUAUCGUGCAAGGUUAAGUUGAAUAGACGGAGCCGAAGCGAAAGCGAGUCUGAAUAGGGCGACUUAGUACGAUGUAGUAGACCCGAAACCAAGUGAUCUAGCCAUGAGCAGGUUGAAGUGACAGUAACAUGUCAUGGAGGACCGAACCGAUGUACCCGGAAACGUGCCCGGAUGACUUGUGGUUAGCGGAGAAAUUCCAAUCGAACUCGGAGAUAGCUGGUUCUCCCCGAAAUAGGUUUAGGCCUAGCCUUGAGGUUUAGCACGCUGGAGGUAGAGCACUGAAUAAAUGAUGGCCCCGUAUAGGGGUACUGAAUUUAAUCAAACUCCGAAUGCCAGUGUUGUAUACUCAGGAGUCAGUGUAUGGGUGAUAACGUCCAUACGCGAGAGAAAAAGAAUUCAGACCGCCGAUUAAGGUCCCAAAAUUUCUACUAAGUGGGAAAGGAUGUGGAGUUGUCAAAACAGCUAGGAGGUUGGCUUAGAAGCAGCCACCCUUUAAAGAGUGCGUAAUAGCUCACUAGUCGAGUGACACUGCGCCGAAGAUGUACCGGGGCUAAGUAGAAUACCGAAAUCGCGGAUUUAAUACUAUGUAUUAAGUGGUAGGGGAGCGUUCCAUAUGCGCUGAAGGUAGAUCGUGAGGACUACUGGAGCGUAUGGAAGUGAGAAUGCCGGUGUGAGUAGCGCAAGGGAGGUGAGAAUCCUCCCCACCGUUUGACUAAGGUUUCCUGGACAAGGUUCGUCCUUCCAGGGUAAGUCGGGUACUAAGGCGAGGCCGAGAGGCGUAGUCGAUGUCCAACAGGUUGAUAUUCCUGUACCACCUACGUGACUGAUGGAGUGACGGAGAAAGCUAAGAAGAGCCAAUUAUUGGAUUUUGGUAUAAGCACAAAGGUUAGUAUAUAGGCAAAUCCGUAUACUGAAUAACUGAAGUGUGAUGUUGACAGAAAUCUUCGGAUUUCUUAAAUCUUCUGAUGCUAUGCUUCCAAGAAAAGCUUCUAGGGCUAAUUACGUAGGUGCCCGUACCGAGAACCGACACAGGUGGUCAAGGAGAGUAUCCUAAGGUGAGCGAGAGAACUAUGGUUAAGGAACUCGGCAAAAUAACCCCGUAACUUCGGGAGAAGGGGUGGUCUAGCGAUAGACCCGCAGUAAAGACGUCCAGGCAACUGUUUACCAAAAACACAGGUCUCUGCAAAGCCGUAAGGCGAAGUAUAGGGGCUGACACCUGCCCGGUGCCGGAAGGUUAAUAGGAGAGGUUAGUAUUUGACUUUGUCAACAUGAUACGAAGCUUUGAAUUGAAGCCCCAGUGAACGGCGGCCGUAACUAUAACGGUCCUAAGGUAGCGAAAUUCCUUGUCAGGUAAGUUCUGACCCGCACGAAAGGCGUAAUGAUCUGGAUACUGUCUCAACCAUAGACUCGGUGAAAUCUUAAUACCUGUGAAAAUGCAGGUUACCCGCGACAGGACGGAAAGACCCCAUGGAGCUUUACUGUAGCUUGAUAUUGAAAUUUGAUAUUCUUUGUAGAGGAUAGGUGGUAGACUUUGAUACUAGGACGCCAGUUCUAGUGGAGUCGCCCUUGGAAUACCACCCUUGGAAUAUUAGAUUUCUAACCUAGGACCGUGAUCCGG